GACGAACGCUGGCGGCGUGCUUAACACAUGCAAGUCGAACGGAAAGGCCCUGCUUUUGUGGGGUGCUCGAGUGGCGAACGGGUGAGUAACACGUGAGUAACCUGCCCUUGACUUUGGGAUAACUUCAGGAAACUGGGGCUAAUACCGGAUAGGAGCUCCUGCUGCAUGGUGGGGGUUGGAAAGUUUCGGCGGUUGGGGAUGGACCCGCGGCUUAUCAGCUUGUUGGUGGGGUCGUGGCUUACCAAGGCUUUGACGGGUAGCCGGCCUGAGAGGGUGACCGGCCACAUUGGGACUGAGAUACGGCCCAGACUCCUACGGGAGGCAGCAGUGGGGAAUAUUGCACAAUGGGCGGAAGCCUGAUGCAGCAACGCCGCGUGCGGGAUGACGGCCUUCGGGUUGUAAACCGCUUUCGCCUGUGACGAAGCGUGAGUGACGGUAAUGGGUAAAGAAGCACCGGCUAACUACGUG
rnacentral:rRNA from 1 species